rnacentral:rRNA from 1 species
CAGCAGCAGCCGCGGGAACACGGAGGGUGCAAGCGUUAUCCGGAUUUAUUGGGUUUAAAGGGUCCGUAGGCGGACUUAUAAGUCAGUGGUGAAAGCCUGUCGCUUAACGAUAGAACUGCCAUUGAUACUGUAAGUCUUGAGUAUAUUUGAGGUAGCUGGAAUAAGUAGUGUAGCGGUGAAAUGCAUAGAUAUUACUUAGAACACCAAUUGCGAAGGCAGGUUACCAAGAUAUAACUGACGCUGAGGUACGAAAGCAUGGGGAGCAAACAGGAUUAGAUACCCCAGUAGUCCCUGUCUCUUAUAC